GACUUUUAAUCUGAGGGUCCAGG
rnacentral:piRNA from 2 species